AGUCCCCGCUGGGAAACCCCAGCCACACCCUGGCGCUGGGAUGGAUCCGGCAGUGGGACGGGCUGGCACUGGGACCAGUGUAGCCCGGGGACUGGGAUCAGCACUGGGACCAGUAUAGUCCAGGAACCGGGACCAGCACCUGGACCAGUAUAGUCCAGGGACUGGGAUCAGCACCAUGACCAGUAUAGCUUGGGGACUGGGAGAUGCACCAGCACCAGCCUGGCCCAGUAUCCCCCUGGGAACUGGGACCAGUAUUGCCUGGGAAUGGGGACCAGCACCAGGACCAGUACAGCCUGGAACUGGGACCAGCACCAUGACCAGUCUGCCCAGUAUCGCCUGGGAAUUGGGACCAGCCUGGCCCAGUAUCCCCUGGGAACUGGUACCAGCACCGGGACCAGUCUAGCCCAGUAUCCUCUGGGACUGAGACCAGCACCGGCUCCGCUGCCCCGCUCCAGGCCCAAGCUCCGCCCCGAAGGGGGGCGGUACCCUCGAAGACCACGCCCCUCUAUCAUUGGCCCCGCCUUCCCUCGACGUCAUCUGCCUGGCACAAGCCUGCACUGCACCCCUCUCUGGGCCCUCCCCCGCGGCUUCACUUCCGCUUCCGGGUCGCUCCAUGGCCGCGGGCCCGGCGGUGGGGAACAGCUCCUCUUCCUCCUCGGUGCCUAGUGGGAGCCCCCCCCCCCCCCCCCCCCCCAGGCUCGGUGACAUCUAGGGGACGCCAGGAUGUGGCACGAAGCCCGCAAGCAUGAGCGCAAGCUGCGAGGGAUGAUGGUGGACUACAAGAAGCGUGCGGAACGCCGUAGGGAAUACUACGAGAAGAUCAAAAAGGACCCAGCCCAGUUUCUCCAGGUUCAUGGCCGGGCCUGCAAGAUCCACCUGGACUCGGCCGUCGCGCUGGCCGCUGAAAGCCCCGUCAACAUGAUGCCCUGGCAGGGGGACACGAACAACAUGAUCGACCGCUUCGAUGUGCGGGCGCACCUGGAUUAUAUCCCCACGUACACCCCGCCCCUGCUGAACCCCAUCUCCCCCGAGCAGGAGUCUGAUGAGAGAAAGUGUAACUACGAGCGGUACCGAGGCCUGGUGCAGAACGACUUUGCCGGCAUCUCGGAGGAGCAGUGCCUCUACCAGAUCUACAUCGAUGAGCUCUAUGGGGGACUCCAAAAGCCAAAUGAAGAUGAGAAAAAGAAGCUGGCGGAGAAAAAGGCUUCCAUCGGCUACACAUACGAGGACAGCACCGUGGCUGAGCUCGAGAACUCCUUGGAGAAGCGAGGGGAUGAGGAAGACUCCGAGGAAGACAGCAACACAGAUGAAGACGAAGUCAUCCCCGAUAUCGAUGUGGAAGUGGACGUAGAUGAGCUGAACCAGGAGCAGGUGGCCGACCUGAACAAGCAGGCGACGGCGUACGGCAUGGCAGACGGGGACUUUGUCAGGAUGUUGCGGAAGGACAAAGAAGAGGCAGAAGCUAUUAAAAAUGCCAAAGCCCUGGAAGAAGAAAAGGCGAUGUACUCGGGCCGUCGCUCUCGCCGCCAAAGGAGGGAGUUCAGGGAGAAACGCUUGAAAGGGAGGAAGAUCAGCCCACCCAGCUAUGCACGGAGAGACAGUCCCACCUACGAUCCCUACAAACGCUCCCCCUCGGAGUCCACCUCCGAAUCCCGCUCCCGUUCCCGCACCCCAUCUCCCGGCCACGAGGAAAAGAUCACCUUCAUCACCAGCUUCGGCGGCAGUGACGAGGAAGCGGCGGCGGCAUCUGCGCAAGCCGGCAGCGUCUCCGGAAAAGCCGCCGUGCUUGGAAAACAGCGUUCCGCCCCAGGGCAGCCAGGCAGCACCGCGGCAGGUCAUAGCACCUCGUCCCGGAGACGCUCUUCGUCCUCUUCCACCUCCCCAUCCUCCUCCUCAUCCUCCAGCUCCCGCUCCAGCUCCCGCUCGCACCGAGGUGGCGGCUACCACCGCUCCAGCCGCUAUUGCCGCUCCCACAGCCGCCGGUACUCACGCUCCCGCAGCCGCAGCCGCCGCUACUCGGGAGGGGGCUCACGGGACAGCCGGCGUCGCUCCAGAUCCUAUUCCCCUGACCGGGGGUAUCGCUACAGCUCGCGCCGCCGCUCCAGGAGCCGUUCCAGGUCCGGAGAGCGCUACCGGCGAGGCGGCAGGUCCAGCCGACACUGGAGCAGCAGCCGGAGCAGCCGAAGUCCCAGUGAUUCCCGGAGCUACAGCAAAUCGAUGUCUCCGGUGCGAGAGAAACCACCAAGGCCCGCAGCAUCGCCCGCCGUGGGGGAGAAACUGAAAAAGGCUGACACUGCUGCUGGUAAAGAGACGGGAGCUGCCAAAGUCACCCAAACUGACGCCGCAGGAGAAGCUGAAGCUGCGCAUGCAGAAGGCGCUGAACCGGCAGUUUAAAGCCGAUAAAAAGGCAGCGCAGGAAAAAAUGCUGCAACAGGAGCACGAGAGACAGGAGCGGGAGGACGAGCUGCGUGCCAUGGCCCGGAAAAUCCGCAUGAAAGAGAGAGAGCGCCGGGAGAAGGAGCGGGAGGAAUGGGAGAGGCAGUACAGCCGGCAGAGCCGGUCUCCGUCCCCACGCUACGGUCGGGAAUACAGCUCCUCCCGGAGGCGCUCCCGGUCCCGGUCCCGGAGCCCUCACUACCGACACUGACGGGGAAACGGCGCCGGUUUCGCCAACAGCAAAUAAAAGAUGGAAAACCCAAA